UACGGAGGGUGCAAGCGUUAAUCGGAAUUACUGGGCGUAAAGCGUGCGUAGGCGGUUCGUUAAGUCUGUUGUGAAAGCCCCGGGCUCAACCUGGGAAUGGCAAUGGAUACUGGCGAGCUAGAGUGUGUCAGAGGAUGGUGGAAUUCCCGGUGUAGCGGUGAAAUGCGUAGAGAUCCGGAAGAACACCGGUGGCGAAGGCGGUGAGCUGGGCAAUUGCUGACACUGAGGCGCGACAGCGUGGGGAGCAAACAGG
rnacentral:rRNA from 1 species